rnacentral:rRNA from 1 species
AUUGAACGCUAGCGGGAUGCUUUACACAUGCAAGUCGAACGGCAGCGCGGACUUCGGUCUGGCGGCGAGUGGCGAACGGGUGAGUAAUGUAUCGGAACGUGCCCAGUAGCGGGGGAUAACUACGCGAAAGCGUAGCUAAUACCGCAUACGCCCUACGGGUGAAAGCAGGGGAUCGUAAGACCUUGCACUAUUGGAGCGGCCGAUAUCGGAUUAGCUAGUUGGUGAGGUAACGGCUCACCAAGGCGACGAUCCGUAGCUGGUUUGAGAGGACGACCAGCCACACUGGGACUGAGACACGGCCCAGACUCCUACGGGAGGCAGCAGUGGGGAAUUUUGGACAAUGGGGGCAACCCUGAUCCAGCCAUCCCGCGUGUGCGAUGAAGGCCUUCGGGUUGUAAAGCACUUUUGGCAGGAAAGAAACGUCGCGGGCUAAUACCCCGUGGAACUGACGGUACCUGAAGAAUAAGCACCGGCUAACUACGUG